GAGAAGUAAGUAAGAGCACACGGGGGAUGCCUAGGGUCUCAGAGGCGAUGAAGGACGCGAUAAGCUGCGAUAAGCCGGGGGGAGGAGCACAUAUCCGCUAAUCCCCGGAUUUCCGAAUGGGGCAACCCCACUGGUUGAAGACCAGUGACCACUCCUUUUAGGACUGGAGCAAACGCCGGGAACUGAAACAUCUCAGUACCGGCAGGAAAAGAAAAUAACAAUGAUUCCCCAAGUAGUGGCGAGCGAACGGGGAGGAGCCCAAACCACGGCGGUUACGGCCGCUGUGGGGUUGUAGGACCACGACAUCUGAUUAAACCGAGUUAACUGAACUGCAUGGGAAGGCAGGCCAUAGACGGUGAGAGCCCGGUAAGUGACAAUUCUGGUUUACGGUAGUGGGAUCCUGAGUAGGGCGGGGCCGGAGAAACCCCGUCUGAAGCAAGCGGCACCAUCCGCUAAGGCUACAUACUCCUGAGACACCGAUAGUGAACCAGUACCGUGAGGGAAAGGUGAAAAGAACCGCGGAUAGCGGAGUGAAAAGAACCUGAAACCGUGUGCUUACAA
rnacentral:rRNA from 1 species